GUACUGCUGAGGAGCCCCACAAUAGGACGAAACGGCCGUUCAGUGU
rnacentral:hammerhead_ribozyme from 1 species